GGGAGUGUGGGGUAGUGGUUUGAGUGUUGGACUACAACUCUGAAGACCAGGGUUCAAUUCGCUGCUCAGCCA